CGGGGCGACAGAGACGCAGACGGAGACGAGCGAGCCACUUUAUCAAAGAGACAAAAGAAGCCGAGAAGAACAGAAGAGAAACUGAAAUUCCACGUAGCAGAGCGUUGCGGCCCACUGUCGAAAAUUAUGACUUGUUUUGAGAUUUGGGAGUGCAAAUAGCUCACUUCCUGUCUGUCUCGCUCUCGCUCUCUAUCUCUGCCUCUCUGUCCCCCUACUGCUGUCCUGUCCUUCUUUUUCUCUUGUCUGUCUCUUGCGCAGACGCAAAAGCGCUCUGAUUGCUGUCGUCGUUGCUUAUGAUUCCUCUUCUUCCUCCUCUUCCUCCAUCUCUUCUUGUUGUUCUUGUUGUUGUCACUCUGCCCGCCGAUGUCUGGCUGAUAAGGAACGUACUGUUCGGAACGGUACGGUAUGCGGGGAACAUUUAACCUCUUUGUCUGCUCCUCCCCCUCCUUCGCUGCUGUUUCUGUUACUGAUGUCGGCGGUGCGAUAAGGCGGGGAGAGGGGAGAUCUCUACGUGCUACCGACAUGCAGCUCUUCCACUUCCACUCCAACUCUUAUUUGGAUUUAUACGCAGGGCAUGUUAAACAGGAGGUAAGGCAGGGCUUUAGUGAACAGAGAGAGAGUGCAGAGUGUCAGACACAAGAUAGUUUGAUAUAUCCAGGGAAUGUUAAAGACAAGGUCAGGCAGUGUUCUAAUUAUGCAGUGCAUAAAGAGAGCCACAUUUCCUUCUGAUUAAUAACCAUGGAAUCUACUCUCUUUCCAGGGCUGGAAAGAUAGUGAGAGAGGAUCAAAGUGCGGAAAGUGUUGUCAGUGCGGAAAAGAGGCCGUGAUCUACUACAGGUUAUGUUAAGUAGAAAGUCAGGGGUGCCAAACACAUACGGACUGUGACUGCUACCGGGGGGCGUGGCACCACCAUUCAUGCUGUGCGAUCACAUUACGUCGUAAUGCGCUUCCGUUUUCUUCUGUCCGCUCCUCCCCUCACCCACCUACUUUCGGUGCUAAUGUGAGGCUGCGCAAAGGCGCCGCCACCGCCACCGCCACCGCCACCGCCACCAUUCAUAUUGAUUUGUGUGUGGCCCUGGACACCGGUUUGGGCCCUGAUUCUGAUUCUAGUUCUGCGUUCUAUCUGCUUAUGCGAUUAGUGAGGUCUAAAGGAGGAGCUCUCCCAUAAGAUGACGAUACUGUCGAUGAGGAUUGAGGAUGGGACUGCGACUGCCACGAUGACGAUGAUGAUGCUGCUCUUGCUCUCCUCUCGUUGUGUGUUUAUUAUUGUUUGGACCCAGAGACCUUUUUGUUUGUAUGCAUUUUCGAUGAAUAAAAAACGAAGACGACCACGAA